rnacentral:tRNA from 1 species
UUUCUUGAAAAAUUUCUUU